GUGAACCCCCAGCCCAGUCAUUUAAUGAGCCCCAGCUCCACCGGCCCGGUCUGGUUUCUCACCACUCAGGUGACUGUCGGCAACUAUAAAGUUAUAGGGCCCGGGUCCAGCUCCGCAGGCAGCACGCUAAUUCAUCACUUCAGACUUACUGCCGUGUGACUCACACCUACUAAAGGCUUUCCGGAUCCAGAUUUCCUGCUGAGGAGGAAAGAUGAAUCUGGCCAACAAACAAAGAAGACAGGAAGAAAGGAGCUUUUCUGCAGGUAUCUGCUGCAGAUGCAUGUAGUUAAUUAAUUAAAAACGAGAGGAAACAGAGCUGGGGUGUAGCUUGAGAAGAAGCAGGACUGUGGAAAGAUGGUCAGUGUCACGAAGCUCUCAUUAACCUCUGGUACCGGAGAUGGGGGCGAUGCAGAACACGGCCUCUAGAGAGCAGUACAAGACAAGCGUUUUCCCUACUAAUUGGUCACAGAGUGAGCAUAUCCUUGGGAGAUAUGUAAAAUUAAGCAAUUUAUUGGGUCGUUAAUUUAGGAAAACAGAGUUAUGACAGUCUGUCUGGCUCCCAGAGCCGGUCUGGGAUUAAACAGGACCGGAGGGAGGAUCUGACAUGAUGGCCACCACCACCACCACCACAGCGGCGGCCCAUUUCAUCUUUUAUAUUGACCAUUGUUUGAUGGUGUUGUCGUCUACGUUCACUAAUGAAUUAAUUCCUUAAAGGAAUGUUCAGAGGGGUUUAUUUUAAAAAUAGUAGUAUAACUCUUGGAUUUUUUAUUUUGUAUGAAUAGGGCUUUUUUUUUUCCAAGUCUGAAGCUAAUCUGACCUGGGCCAUCAGCAACGGUAAUAAUUUUACUGAUUAAAAGUAAAAAGUUUCAUAAACAAAUUUGUAUUAUUCUUGAACUGCAUUUGGGGGUAUAAAAAAAAAAUCAGUUCAAGAUCCACAAAUUGCCCCUGGGCAAUUUGGACACCACAGCACUAGGUGGUGCUACAGCAUCUGCUUGCUUUCCUAUUGACAAACAGGGCAUUUCUGAUUUUUAAUUUUUUUAAAAAAAUUUACAGUGUAGUGUGUGGCCUGUAAUAAAUCUCACACUUCUAAUGCAGCCCAUGUUUCGAACUGGUCCACAAGGUACCCUUUUAUUGUUUAACAUACUUUAUCAUUUUUCCUCCAAAAUGUCUGGGCACGCCACUGAAGAACGACCACUUACUUAUCUUAAAAACUUGGUGGUUUAUGGCUUAGUGUUUUGUGAAGCACUAAGCUGAUAUAAGAUAUAACUAGAACAUUUUUCGUCCUGUCCUCUGAAACCUCGAUUGCCCUCGGCGCCUCCAGGCCAGCAGGGGGCCUUCAGUGGCCGCUUAUUGUACUUCUGCCUUGGGCCGGCUCUCCUACAAUACUCUGCCUCCUGCUUUUGAACACCUUUAGAUAUAUUUGUCACACAUCCGCAUGAACAUAGGUAGAUAGAUUAUUCAAGAUGUGUGUGUUUUGGAUGCAUUUUGUGUCAGAGUAUGUCUGACCACUAGCAGUCGUGCUAACUCCCCCACCCCCCACCCCACGCCCUCCACCCCUUCCCAAACUCCCCUCACAAAGCAACAAUGGACGCCGGCAGUGAACAGCCAUAGUGCUAUUAUAGCCCUAAUCCUGCUCCAUUAUACAGACCAGAGAGAGAACGAGAGACACACACACAGAGGGGGAGGCAGAGCCGAAGAUGAGGUCAUCCCAAACAGCACACACCCAGGGUCAACGCUUCACUAUAGAAGCACAGAGAUAAAGGGAGGGAUGGAUGGGCAUGUGGCUGCCAAAAAAAAAAAAAAAAAAAAGGCCUACCAGGGACAGAAUGUGGGAGAUACACGGAUAUGAGAACGUGAGGGGAGAGGAGGUUAACACCUCGCUGCAAGGUGUGCAAUAAAACAUGGACACAAUGCAAGGUUGUUGUUGUUGUUGUUGUUUUUUUUUAAAACAACUUUGUUUAUUUCAUACGGGUAUGAAACCACACUACAAUGGGAGCGGGAAACCACGGCGAUGGCCCCCGCUUCUGUAAUAAUGUUAAUUCUAGUCACGACAGAGUAAAAUGAUAAACUGUAGGAAAGUAAAAAUACACACUAAUGGAAUGGAAACCAGUGAAAUAAUUAGAAGUACAUAAAUAAACAUUAAAUACUGAAUAAAUAAGUGAAUAAAUAAAAGAACAAUUGAUUUCUUUUCUUUUGCAACUACACUCACACAAAAUAAAUAGCCUCUAAUGAAUGAAAUCUGGCGUUGUAUCACCAGCUCAGAAAAUAUCUCAAGAACAGUUUGUGUUUCCGUCUUUGUUUUCAUCCCUGAACUGUUAAUUAGUCCCACAGUGUCUGGAGUCCACAGUGACCAGCUCUGUGGUGUCACAUUAUGCUUUGGAUAAGGAAACCUGCAAAGGUCUUCCCCAAAAAACAUCUUCCUAUUUACACCAAGCUUUCUGUGUCUUUAUUCUGCGAUGGAUUGCUUCGAAAUACGUUUCCAGAACCCCACAUCUCUGCAUUAGCAGAAAAAAAAACAACAACAAAAAAAACUUGAUUGUUUGUAGCAAACAGCAAGUGUGUACUUUGUUCUUGGCUGAAGGCCACUAAUUAAUAUGUUCAGCUAGUAAGAAAAGGAGACUCCUUUUGCUAAAACACAAGAGCAAUGUCACUAUCACUGAUGGAUUCCUCUGAAAGGUAUCCUUGUACAUUCUUUAAUCUAUGAUUAUUCUUUUUUUUAAUUAUUA